rnacentral:rRNA from 1 species
GAUGAACGCUAGCUACAGGCUUAACACAUGCAAGUCGAGGGGCAUCAUGCGGAUUGCUUGCGAUCCGUGAUGGCGACCGGCGCACGGGUGAGUAACGCGUAUCCAACCUUCCCGCUGCAGGGGGAUAACCCGGUGAAAGCCGGACUAAUACCCCAUAAUCCCCGUUGACGGCAUCCGAUUCGGGGCAAAGUUUUUUUCGGCAGCGGAUGGGGAUGCGUCCGAUUAGUUAGUUGGUGAGGUAACGGCUCACCAAGGCUUUGAUCGGUAGGGGUUCUGAGAGGAAGGCCCCCCACAUUGGGACUGAGACACGGCCCAAACUCCUACGGGAGGCAGCAGUGAGGAAUAUUGGUCAAUGGGCGCAAGCCUGAACCAGCCAAGUAGCGUGGAGGAUGACUGCCCUAUGGGUUGUAAACUCCUUUUAUGCGGGGAUAAAAUGUUUCACGUGUGAGAUAUUGCAGGUACCGCAUGAAUAAGGACGGCUA